GCAGAGAAGGGGCUCCCCAGGCAGGGAAGGGGCUCCCCAUGCUGGUCGCUGGCGUGACCCGAGGGGCACGGUCAGUGUAGGCACAGGGCAGUGAACACCACAGUGGGGCAAAACCAGCAGCAGGCACUUGGCUUUUGCAUUUCUAAACGUUUUUAUGCAAUGAGCAGGUACUCUAAUAAGCCAUAUAUUUAGCUCCUUUUUUUCCCCCUUCAUAAUAAUAUAUCCUUACUUGGAUAUAAGUAUAGCUAAGUACUGAUAAAUGCAAAUUUGAGGACAGUGAAUGCCCGUGUGUCACUGUCUUAGUGUGCCAGCACUGCCCUACACAGAGUGGAAUAUACGAUGGUCCUUUGGUUCCUCAAAAUGCGUCCUUGGCCUUCAGAUUCACACCAUGGAAAAUACUUGUAAAUCCAAUUUUUAAAGUGAAGUAUUUUUUAAGGUGAAGCAAAUGUGGUGCAGAUGAGAGCAGCUGCAAAGUCCAGUCUGUAAAGCAGUACAGCGUGGCUGCUGCUUAUCAGCGAGUUCUCUGCUGAUACAGCUCGGGCCUGCUUUGCACCUCUUGGGUCACGGUAUCUCCAGACCUGUUGUUCACAGUGACAUAUUUUGCUGGUGGACCUCAGUCUGGGAUCAGAGUUUUUGCUGAUUAUUCUUACGAGCUCAUUCUUGUAGGUUUCAUUUUAUUACUGUUUAGGGAGGUUUGUUUUGCUGCUUAUCAAUGGCUAAGUUAAACAACCCUGGUGAAAAGCCUAUGAUUGCUGCCAUUUAUGGCGUUCUAACACGGUUUCAGGCUUUUCAAGGAAACUGAAACUGAAAAUGGGGCAGGAUUGUGAGUGUUGCUCAAGAUAGAGAGGCUUUGCAAUGGUGCAUUGUAAAUAAUUACUGUUGUACAUGGCUUGCUCAUUUGGGUGUUUAUCCUAUGAGUCUGUUGGCUUGGUUUAAUAGACUUAGGCAGGCAAUUGUUGGAGGGGAACAAUUGUUCCAGUGAACCACUGCCUCACCCAGCCGUGAUUUCAAGGUUAAGGCAAUGUCAGAUCUGUCUGCUGAGAGAACCUGGUGAUGAAACUCCAGUGUUGUCACUGGUAUUGUCAGUUGUGCAGUGGCACCAUUGGGAAGGAGAUUAUGGGCAGCUAAAAGACUGAGUGAGCUGUUCUCUCCUGUUUUGUUUUCUCUGUGAGGCUCAGGCCUGUGUCAUUGAUGUAGUUCAGUGAAAACCACACUGUGCUCUGUGUGAGGCUGGGAUCACAGUUUGAUCCUCCACAGUGAGGAGGGCCUAUGGAAACCUGUGGUGCUUCCCUGCUGGCUGACGUGCCAAAAUAGUUUUCUUUGGAAACCAGAGUGCAAACUGGUCUCAUCCUGACAUGCAGUAGGGACAUAGGUGGGAUUUCCCCUGCAUCUCAUGGUAGAGACGUUGCAUUUAUUUACCUUGAGGCCGAUCUCCAGAAGCAAUAGCUGCUAAUCCCAAGUACAACUUUCCCCUUAGUAGGGACAGGAUGCUCCAAAUCUGGGCAUGUUUUAAAAAAAUGCAGACUUGUCAGGUGCCAGAAGAGAGCUGCUUUUCAUGGUGGACUCCCAGAGACCAAAGAGGAAGCAGAGGUUCAUAUUUGGCCUUGCAACAAGACAGACUGCACCUGUGAGAGCUCUGAAGGGGAAGAGCUGCUACCAGACAUGCUUGGGUUCUUUGAAGUAGAAAUGGUUGAAGGCCCUGCUGUUCCCAGCCUUUCACUCCUGUUAUGUCAGGUCAUUAAUAGUGGCUUUGCACCACUGGCUCUAAAGUUGUACAAAGGUCCAGGAGAUGGAAAAUGGAAAAAAGUUAGUGUUCACAGAUGUCUUUUAGCAUCACUGCAUAUGCUGAAGUGUAGCUGUGAUCCUGCUCCUUUUGCUACCACACUUUUUGCAGGUUGGGAACAAGGAAGCAGAGAGAUGGGUCCUCAGAGGAUGGGAUUUAUGAGUAUGGUUUCUUUGUUUUAGCACAACCAUAGGGCAGUUCAGCUGCUUACUUCAGUUCUCUCUGAUUUUUACUUCCUCUGCUUAGUUUGGGGAACAAGUAACAGUCAGAAUGGGUUUUCUACAACCUUAAAAUGAUCUUAUAGAGGAAGAAAAAUUCAUGUGGUGGUUUAGGGCUGCACAAAUACUACAGAUGGAAAAGAUCAUGCAAAAACAAAAAUUUGUGUCAGACUAAUAUCAGUACAGAACUGCCAACACAAGUCAAUGAAAGCUUUUCUCACCUCUAGACAUUUAAACAGUUGGCUGUAAUCUGUUGUCAGAGUGGAAAUGUUUAUGUUCUGAAGUUUGCCAGUGUACAGAAUUCAUGUUCUGGUACACCUCAAUACAACAAUGGGUCUGUCCUCACCACCUUCUGGCAGCUAGCAUGCUCUGAGUGAAAUCUUUCUUUCAAAACAUAAUGGAAAUUCAAGAAAAAGAGUUUUAAACUAUGCAGACAAAGUUUAUGUUUUAUUUUACAGGCUUUUGAUAUGAGAGGAAGCAAGUGGCAUAUUGAUGUAUUCUUAAGGCUCAUAUGAGGUAGCUAGAGGUGAUGAACUGUUUUACUAAAAAAUCCAUUUCCUUUUGAGUUAAAAAUCUAAAAUUCACUGAGGACAUAAAAAGUCCUUCUUGUUAGGAGUUCCUCUACAAAAUUAACGUCAUAAAUUGCCUAAUUUUUAGAUGAAAGACCCUUUGAUAACACCAUUUUACGUGACCCAUGUUCAUGUUAUUGUUGGCCGACAUUUUGGAUAUGUUUAAUAUGUCAUGCUUAACAAAAGUUUCUGAAAGACCUUUUCUGUCCUCAGCAUGGAAAAGUUUUUUCACUUCCUUUUCUUCCAUCAAGCUUAUUUUCCCAGCACUUAUCAUCUCUCAUUAGGUCUUAUCUUUCUUCUGGAUAGGAUUGUUUUCCCAAUUCAUACACAGAAGCCCAGUUGACUUCUGAGUGCAAUCUUUCCAUGCCAUGGUACCCAGAGGUUCAGAGAUAACUCUGUUUGCUUGGGUAAUGUUGGUGAAUAGAACACAAUGCAAUUUUAAAACCUUUUUCUGGAAGGCAAAAAAAAAAAAAAAAGGCUUUGUAUACCUCUGGAGAAUGGAAGUAAAUUACAUUCUUCCAUUAUGUACGUGAAUCUGAUUUUGAGGAUGGUGGAAUUAAUUUAUCUGGUUAUAAAGGACAUGGCAUCUUCUAAAAUGCACAUGAUUAUUUUUAGUUUGGUUGAUUUUAGCUGACCUGUAGACGUUUCUCAGUGUAUGUUACAAUUGCAUAUUGCUUUCUGAGACAGAGUGAAUGCAGCACUAGAAAGCAAUUAUGGAACUAAUAUAUUUCCCUGAAAUGUACUUUGUGAUGCAGGAUUUUACUCAUGUUUCUAAAAAUGACUUAAACUUCUGCCUGAAUUAUCCUAGUAUCACAAAUAUGCCACUUAUAUCAAUUUAUCCCAAAGAUACCAUCUUAGUAAGGAGAAGUAUUCCAUGACUGGCAAGAAUAACUUGCCUUCCAUAAUAACAGUUUUCCCCAGGUCCAAAAUGUUUUUUUUUCAGUGAGGAGUGGAAUGCCUGCCUGUUCUGUGCACUGGGGCACCUGCACUGUGAGACACAAAGAACAGAAAAACCCUGUAUUUUGGGACUAAAACACCCAAGCAACAAAGCAGACAGUCAUACAAAAGUACCCUCUUCAAACAAAGCCUCUGUCACCCAGCUUCCUGGGGAAUUUUGUGCAGGAAUCAAUUUUUUCUUUUUCUCCCUGUACCACAUGUUGCCAUAGUCUCAACUUCAAGAAUGAUCAGAGACCUAUAAAACAUGAUCUAAGGGGGAAGAUUGAAAGAAUUGGGGUUGUUUAGUCUGAAGAAAAGGAAGGUGCUGGAAAAAAUGGUAAUGAUCUUUCAAAUAUAUAAAAUUUUUCUCUGCAGACAGAAGGAAUCAGUUUUUCUUUAUGUUCAGUGGGUCUAGGGCAAGAGGUGAUGGACUUGGAAAUUUAAAGUAGAUCUUAGGAAAUUAUUUCAAACUGAAAAUGUUGUUUGGCAGUGAAAAUGAUUAUCUGGGAAUCUCAUUUGCUGAAGGCUUUGAAAGGCAGAUUAGGUCACAUGUCUCAGGAAUGGUUUUAGUUGCAGUAGAUUAGAUGGAGAUAACCCCAAAAGGUUCCUGGCUGGUUUUUGAUGUUUUGUUUCUCUCAGGUGAUUUACAGCAGAUGCUUUACUGCUGUGUUAUUUUGAUUCUCACUCUUCCUUAUAUCCUCAGAAAAUGCCAGGAGAAAAGAUGUCAGUAGGUAAAAAAUUGGGUAAGUAGGAUGGGUGGGGACGUUGCCAAUAGCAGAGCACUAAGAAAUCACAAUUCCUGCAGGAAAACUGGUGUGCUUGAGCAGAGUGUGACAUUCAGCUUGUCCUCCUGACUGGCUUUGGGACACAAGUGUUGAGCUGGCUUUCAACAAGUGCUGAAAGUGACUGGUUAGUCAAUACCCAGAAAUCAAUGUUUUAAAUUUCAAUUUUAAAUUUGAAUUGGAGCUUCCCCUUUUGCUGUAUUUGAGCAUUUCCUGAAUUUGCAAGGAGUGAACUCUAUCCACAGUUAACCAGAAGCCAGUUUGUCAGACUUCUUUUUCCUCCAGUUCUCUGCAACAGUAAGGUAGUAUCCUAAGUCCUUGUAAUUCUUUGAAACAGACUUGAGGAAUUAAUUGUUCUAUUUAAAUAUGCAUUCUGGUGCAAAAUUUAAAACAUCUCUUGUUCACCUUCUCCAUACUCUUCCUGUUUUUUUUCAUUUUCACCAUUCUUCCUGUAGCCUAAAAUCUCUAUUUUCUUCCUGUAGGUAACUGUAGGUCUUCUGCAAUAUCAGAGUGAUAAAAUGACACUUGAACAGAUUCAUGGGAACCUAGGGAGUGGGACCUGUCAACUCUGGUUGACAACUCUGCCCAAGUCCAAGAUCACCUAUGUCUUUGUCAUUCCUUGACAGAAAACAGUUUAAACUCUGUCUGGAUACUGAGUGAUGGCUACAGGUGAUUAUUCUGAAGGGUACAAUUCAGCAUUUCCUGCUGAAGCUCUGCUCUGUGACAGCUUAGCUGGAUUGCAGCAGACAAGGUACUGGAGACUGAAGAAAAGGAAUGUGAGAAGGAACCAUUGAAGAUUUUAUACUGAAAGUAUCAGGUGGUUGUGAAUGACUGCCCUUGGGAAAUUCACUUUAUCCUCUGGCCAGAAAUGUUGCUUCUUAACCUUUAGUUUUGCUUUUUGAUUAGUCUGUGUUUGUACAGCCUCCUCUUGGAGAGACAGGCUGGAAAUUUGUACCAGUAUUUGCUUUUGCAUGCUCAAACACUACUUUGCUUCCUGAAAAAAAUUUCUAGAAAACAACUAUAUAAUGCAGAAAACAGAAGUUAUCAUAAAUUAAACAUCUGACAGUAUGAGAAGGAAUACCAGAAGGUAAUUGUACAAUUCCUUACUCUGUUCUGAUUUUGGGUAUGUGGAGAUUCCUAUAAGAUGUGAAAACCUUGCUUGUUUAUUUACAUGACAAAAGAGGAAAAAGGCAUUUUUUAGCAGAACAUACUGUUUAAACAAACACCACAGUGAGACAAGACAGCUAAAGCCCAGUCCUUUGUCCAGAGCUGUGAUUGCUGUGACCCCACUGUCACCACCACAGGAUUCUCUUCCCCAGGGAUGGAUCCUGGUCCCUGUGCUGUGUCAGCCAGGAGAGGAGAAGGACAGACCCCUGCUGUCACCAAGGACACCCCAAAUCUCUCCUGAGCCUCAUCCAAAAAGGUUCUGUAAUUUACAGUUCCUUAUGGCAGGACACUUCUUCUGGUAUUGUCAUGAGCAUUUUAAAAAUGUUAUCAGGCAAUAAUUGCUAUCACAACUUUUAAUUCUGUGUUUCUGUUUCAAAUUUUCCUCAGUUCAAUCAGAACCAAAAGUUAAUGCCCGUUGGCUAAUUUCCAGUGCAUGCCUCCACAGAACAACUGCUGCCUUUAACUGGUGGAGAGAUCAAGGCUUGAACUGACAAAAGACAUCUGUAUUUUGGAAAACAAAUUAAUGUUUAUGUUUUAAUUUAUAAGUUCCUGGCUCUUUUAUGGUUCCUGUUUUUCAAGUAAUGUCUCUUUGGAUCCCUAGCUGAUGGAGAGUCAAAAUGGAAAAGGCCCAUGAGAGAAUUAUCACAAUAGAACAUCUGGUCUGCAUUGGAAAAAGCUGAGAAAGAUAUUCAACAUCUCUGAGACUGAGGUUGCCAUGAGGCAGUUUGAAAGUCAGUCCAUGAAAAAUUGUGCAGGUUGUGGCCACCUGGGCCAAUCUGGUGUUGUUUUGGGAAGAGCUAUUCUGCUCACAAGAAUCUGAAUUUUAAUCUCCCUCAAGCAUGGUAAUGUGAGAGCUGGGAGUGGUAUGAAAGGUGUUUGCUUUCCAUAAUGUUAAUCUGGGUCCCAGCAUUGUCCUAAUUAUAUUGUGGGUUUUUGCCAGUCUCCCAGAUUUCUUUUGAGCAUGUAGGCUGGACUCAAAAGGCUUUCCCAGGGCUUUUGGCAUAGCUUUACAGGAAAGUGGAUGGAAAGGACUUUGUAUAUUUUUGCAAGAAUAUUUUGCAUCCUGCUUUAAACUAUUCCAGAAGGUAAAAGGACAUUAGCUAGACUGUGUGUUGGCUCAUGCACUGCUAUGUCACUAAUGAGAAGGAAUUUUAUUCCUGUUUUCUGCAGCCACAGAUUGUAAGAAAUGCAAAGAAAUCAUGGACCAGCCAGGGCAGUAAAGGUACCCCUGGAUUCAGAGGGAACAAACUCCUUCCACCACAUGGAACUUUGGUCCUUUAAGUCAUUAUAGCUCAUGCAGAACAGAAACAAUUUGACAUGUAUAACAAGAAACAUUGCAAAUUGUUUGCCAAACAAAGACUUAUACUGCAGAUGGAAGAACUGAUGAAAAUUGUUUAUAGAUGGGGAACUAAAUGUAGAUUUUUCAAGAACAAGGUUGCUGUCUUCCUUGCCAAGACAAACAAAUCUGAUAGACCAUCUCAUUGCUUUAGGCUGCCUGAGGACCCACUGGAAAGUCUAUGGACCUUUUUCCACAGAAAAUUUGUGUGUUGUCAAUACAUAAGUGUAUUGUCCACAGUUACACUGUGGCAGCUGCAGAGGAAGUGGAAGGUUCUCAGGAAUACAUUAGGGAGAACUGGAUUUUUGGCUUCUGAAACAGUGUGGAGUGCUUUUGGAAACUGUGGAAGUUUAUAAGCUGGAUGUUACUGCUACAAAAGGUUAUCUGUGAGUUAAAUAGAAUACUAAUUAAUCUGCUAUCUUAAGAUCUUAACACUAACAACAGAAUGAAAUUGAGAAUUCCUGUCUUCUAGAAUUGCAGUUUCCAAGAUUCCUUCAUUCCUGUGAACAUACCCUGGUCUGCAUUUGGAGUUUUUCAGAGUUACCUUUAGAAAUCUGUGCACAGAUGUUUUUACAAAGCACUGUGUAAUCAUCCCAAACAAUGGUUUUAAUGGGCCAGUUAUUUAGGAAAUCAUGUAAUGAGAACAUAAAUACAAUCCCUGAUACUGACAUAAAACAUGUAUUAGCAAAAUAAUAUAGUUUGUAUUUCCUUGAUAAAGAGCAGACCCUGGAAAUACAUAACUCAUCAUGUUCUUAAAAUUUUGUUACAUCUGUAAACAUCUAUAUUGGCAGAGAGGCCCAGCAGCACCCUGGGCUGCAUGAGGAAGAGCAUUGCUAGGAAGUCGAAGGAGGUGAUCAUUCCCCUGUGCCCAGCCCUGGUGAGGCCUCAGUGGGAGUGCUGUGCCCAGUUCUGGGCUCCCCACAGCAGGAAGGACUUGAACAUGAUGAAGGAGGGCAGAAAGGGCCAUGAGGGUGGGCAAGAGGAGCAUCCUGUGCUCCCAGGGAGGUUUGAAGUUGACAUCAUUGAAGAAAUUCCAAACUCAGCUGAGCAAGGUCCCGAGCACCCUGCCCUGGGUGAGCCAGCUUGGGGCUGGGCUUGGGCUGAGUGAUCCCUGGAGAUGCUUCCAGAAUAUUUGGGAAUGUUUGAGGCAGUUUGCUUGUGCCUUGUCAGUGUUUUAGCUGCAACUCAACUGUGGAGGAAUCCUAAGGAGAGCAAAGGUUGUGACCCUAGAAAUUCAUCCAGAUGGCUGAGGCCCAGAAAAGGCAUAAUGGGAGCUGCUAAGUACUCUGAAUGUCUCAUCAGAGUGAUAUUUCACUUGAAAAUACAAAAUAGAAAUUACUUGGGUCUUAAUGACACUGAAUACCCAUAAUGUUCUCUCACUUCAGCUGGACUGCAGAUGCUAACAACCUCUCCCUAUCUGAACAUGUUUAUUUUCAUUUAAUCUUGCUCUGUACAAUCUUAACAUAUAUUUUACUCCAGAAAUUAAUACUUGGUGUUUACAGUGCAGAAUUUAUUUGCUUGUUUGUUCCACACUUUCUUUCCUUUCUAGUACUGAUAUUAACAAAUUACAAUUUAUUUUGAUAUAUUACUUCAGUAAUAUAUCAAACUGAAUAUAUUCAUGGUAUGUACAUACCAUGUACAUACCAUGUCUCAAGGAGUUGAAAAUAUCCUAAUUUGAGCAAGGUAAAAUCAAAAUAUAUAAUUACAUUGCAUAUUCUAUGGCACUUAUUUUGUAACUGUUCUUACAGUAUCUUCAGAAUAAGAAAGAAGAUGAAAUUCAAAAAGGACUUUCAUAGUUUAAAAAUAUUUAUGUUGAAACAAGAUUUAUGUUGAAAGGCAAAGAUAAUUUUUUUAAUCAUCUGAAUAGUGGUAGGAAGAUUCACCUGUGGUUUUUCUUUAUGAAAAUGCCAAGGAGCUAACUUGCAGUAUUGAGAAUUCCUUCUUUUGAAAAUUCUUUGUCUUUUAUAUUGCCUGUUAAGGAAAAAGGAAAGCACACUGGAAAACAAGAAAUUGAGCAACAUUGCACAAGUAAUUAGGAAAUAAAUAGAUCAUAAAGCAUUUUACUUCAUUUUGGUUUUGCCCUUCAACAAGUGAAACGAUAAGUAAAUAACCUGUUUCUUUAUUACCAGUAUAUGGAGUUACAUUGGGUCUGAGAGACCAAGGCAUAAAUGUGUAAAUAACACCUGUGGUUUUUAUUACAGGACAUCAGAUUUUGCUAGGGAUGAGCCCAUUGUGGAGCCACAAAAUUAAGACUUCAGAAGAGAAUAACACAUGAAGGUCAAAUGUUCUUUGUCAUUGGUUGCUGUCUCUGCCCCACUCUGCCCUGAUUUAAUGCUUUUACAGCACAUCUCUGAUUCAGUCUCCUCUGUCCUGUGUGGGAUGGGGGUAGAAUAUUACUUUAAAUUGACACCUCUAGCAGCAGUUCCUACUUGUACUGGUUUCCUUUUAUAAAUGUGUAACCUAUUAUAUCUAUCCAAGCUGGCUGAGCUCCAAGUCACCCAUUUCUCAGUAAUACAGGAAAUUAAAUCUAAUGUCUAAUAAGCGUAGAGGCUUAUGCAACCUUCAUUCCCUGUAAAAAGUAUUAAAUAACAUAAUAAUAUUACCUUGUCUUUUGAUUGCUAGGGAGCUGUGCACUUAGUUUUUGUGCAGACCAAGCUGGCUCUGCAUUUGGGCUUGAAGAGUCUGAGUUUAUCCAUCCUUUUUUGCAGACUUACUGAAUUUCACCUGGAAAAUUCUCCUGUUAUUAAAGGACCCCCUGAAAUGUUCAUGUGUAGGUUUGGGUCCCUUUCUCCACUUGUCCCUUUGUUCCCACAGAGGGUUGUGUCCCCCAUGAUCUCAUCCUGGGGGUGCUGCUGCUUCCUCAUUCAUUCUCUAUCCCCCAGGAUUUUCCAGCCUGAACAGAUUCCUGCCUGUUCCAUCCCAUUUUCUGAUAAUACCCACGACAGCUCUGUGUUGGUUGCUGCAGCCUUUAAAAAUGCAGAAAUCUGACUUUAGGCCAUACAGGUUAGCAACAUAAUUUCAGGGCUUUGUCUCCUGCAUGUACCAGUUCAAUAAGUGGAUUUAUACUGAAUAAUUUUAAACUGUUACAGCCCUCUGAAACCAUUUCUCUCUUGCUGCUGUAAUACAUAAAGUGGCAUAAGGUCACUGAUGAUGUGGAAAUUGGUUUUGGAGUUGAUAUGCUAAUUCAGCAAGAAAUCAGUUCUAGCAGAAAUGCAAAGAAAAUUAUUUUAAUCUAGUGCCAUGCUAUUUUGUUGGCUUUUAGGAAAGAGAUAAGUAAAAUAUUCAAGGGAGUUCCAAGUCUGUGGAAAAAGUAGCAUUUUGGAGAUUUAAGGUUAUUUUUGCCUCACAGUUUCUUAGCUUCUUUUCUGAAAGCAAAUAAGCUGAAUGUGAUGGACACAAAUGCGAUAUUUUCACAUGCUCAAAAACAAAAAAAAGAAAGAUCUUUCUAAAAACUGAAUUCUGUAUAAGAAUAAACUUGGUUCAGUCUUUUCUGUGUCAUUCACCCCAUGUUUACAGUAACUGCUUCUGCAAUUUUGUGGAUGAAAACUUCCAUGCAGAUACAUCCAGAGCCAUUAAUGAGGAUGCAUUAUGCAACUAAUUGCAACAGGGAACAAAAUUACAGUAAUGGUGCCUGAGGAGAAAGAGAAUCUCUGCACUCAGUGUACAAUGCUGCUGUUUGCAGAGGAAGGACACCAGCUGCAACAAAAGUAGUGUCUGUUCUAGAGUGAGGCAUGAGCUCCACUGGACAUGAGUUGGCUUCCCUGGCUGCUGUGCUCAGUAUUUCAUUUUAGCAAGUCUGAGAUUGCUCCAAGUCUUCAUCUCCUCCUCCUUUAUGCCACUGCAAGCACCAGGUUGUAUGUUAUUGAAGAGAGAGAAAUAGAAAGUGCAAUGCAGUGUUUUAUUUCAUGCUGCCCAAGUUUACUCAGACAGACACACCCAGAGAGAACGUGUGCUGCACUCAGCUUGGAGAUCUGUGUUAGAAAUCCUGGCUCCCCUGUGCUUUCCUGCUUUGCCAUAGCUGAUAAGAGAGUUUAUAACAGGAACCCCCUGUUACCUCAGCUGCAAAUGGUUCUGAGAAUCUAAUGGCCAAGAGAGCAGAAUUUAAAUUUAUUUUUGUUUGGCUUGUGUUCCAGCAAGCAUUUAAAAGAUCCCCCAGUUUAUCUUUGUCAGAGAUUGUUUUUCUUUUGGCUUAGCUUGGACACCAAUCUCACUGUUGAGUUUACAUUUAUGGAGUGGGACCCAAGGUUUUCUCCAAGCAUUCAGUAUUAUGAUUUUGACUUUGCAAGUCUUGUUGCUUGGGAUAGGUGUAAAAGUCAUGUCUGCAUGUACAGCAAGAACAGAACUGGGCUGUGGAUGCUGCUACUUAGUCAAUUGGGCAGGAACAAAAUUCUGGAGGCUGCCUCUCCUCUUGGCUGGCAGGCAGAAGAGUUGGUAAAAGCUGCAAAGACAACUGAGCACCUUAAUGAUGACAUUUAUUUUUUAUUUUAUUUCGUUGGUGGAUUUUGAGGAAUAGUUUUUAAAAUGCAAUUAUUUUACUGUCCUUUAGCAAAGCAUGUGUGACCACAGCUGUUUUUCCAAAAUGCCUGGUUUGCUUGCUUUUGUUGCCACCAGUGGAGUUCUCACUCCACAUAGCAAUGUCCACAAGGUGGUGCCACAGCUAAGAACUUUGCAACAAAUAAGGCAAGUAACAUGAUAAUUCUGUCUGCUUUUUGUAACUGACUGAAGUAUCUGCAUCGUGAAAGAAUUAAUAAUCAUUUCAUAAGCCAAAUAUCACAGGUUUGCAGCUCUUUUUUUGUGAGAACUAAGGUGGGUCUGUCUGAUGAGCAAGAGCAGCAUCCACACACCUGAGACUGUCCCAAAUCCUGCACAGAAAUGAGGAGGCAACUCAGGGUUUAGCAGUCAGGCUGAUGAAGAGCUGAGUGUAUUUCCUAGCAGGGUUACCUGUGCCAACACUGGCAUGUGUCUCACGUUUUUAUCUGGUCACUUCAGCAGGAAUCAGCCUGAAUCCUGACAAGCAGAAUAGUUCGUCCACAGCUUCACCCAAGACAGCUUCUACUUACCCUGGACAGGCUAUGGCACAUCAGACCCGAAUUUCCUGAGUUUUUCUAGAGUCAGGGAUAUCCAGGCUCCCUGUCCUAUGUUAAUCUACAGCUGAUUAUUAAUUCCAAAGGGUAUGAAAUGCUCACAGAGGGACCUGCACAGAUGCUCAAGUUUCUGAGCAUCUUUGUAAAAAAGAUCAGACUAGAGAAGGUAGAAGGCAGUAACAGAGAAUGUAAAAUGUCAUGUGUCCAGUACAGAAAAGACAAUAAAACUUCCAGGGAAAAGUUGUUUGUAGGGAUCUGGAUGACUGCACUGAUUUUGAUGUCCCAGAAGUGCAGCAGGAUUUGGCCAUGCCCUCAGAAGGUGUGGGUCAGUUCUUCAGCUACCCUUGGCCACAUGGUGCUUCUUGCACCUCUGCCCUGCUCCCCUCAGUGGCCUCUGUAAUUCAGGUGUUUGUGCUAGCAACAGAAAUACUCCCUCUCAGCUUCUGCAGUGGAUAAAUGAAGUUUGAAUCAUUUAUUCUUUACAUAUUUUUGUACCCAAAGCAGCAAGAAAAAGGGAUACCUUAAAAUACCAUUCAGACAAGCAUUGACCUGCCUCCACCUAGAAUCUCUCUUUGCUAAGCCUGUAUCAGAAAGAAAAAAAUAAUAGGGUUUGCAUAAAAUUUCCUCUAAAUUGCUACAUUAUUAUUUUAAAACAUAUUAAAAUUUUUCUGGCUAGUAAGGGACUCAGUGGAAAUUAUGUAUACCCAGGAAAGAUGGUUUGUCCCCCAGUUACAAAGUAGAAUGAGGUGUAGAAGCUUAUUGGGUACAGUUAUAAAAGUUGUCAAAUAACACAAUGGCCACCUAUUUUGUUUUUAAGGAUCAUAUCUAUAAAUUAUAUGUAAAAGUGGUUUACAGUAUUUUGAAACUUUGUAUUGGUUUCAUCAUCUGUUAGAAAAAGUCAGAAUCUAACCUGAGAACUAACUAAAAAUAUGAACAGGUCAAGUAGAUUUAAUUUCUGAGUCAGUCUGUUGAGUUAGCUUGAACUAACUGAAUCAUGACACUGACAUUGUCAGAGUAUUCCUGAAAGAUUGUUCUGAGUGUAUGGCUGCAAUGUGCCUUGCAAUUAAAUUGACAUAUUUCUGGUUUGGUUUGGA